CAAUCUUGGAAUGAAUUGCUGUUUUCUAAUGCUGAGUGAUGGGUUUUAUUGGUCAGCAAAAGAUGAUAGAAUGUGAUGUUUUAGGACAAUGUACCUGGACCACAACCGUUUGCCCUUAAUACUUGUGGUAAUACGAACUUGCAGGACUCCUGCUAAUGGACCGGCUUGCCAAGUACAGGCCUUGAUCAGGAAUAAGUUACACAUCAAUUGUUGGACAUAAAUUACGGAAAGUAAACUCUUCGGACUUUAUAAAACACAGGCCUUGAGAAGAGCCUGGGAUUUUUGGCCUCUGGAGUCCCUCUCUACUUUUGCAGAAGUUCUUUCGUUCUUGGCUUUUCCUGUUAUCCAUCCAACUUUCUCCAACUGGGAAGUAGAUGAGGGCUUCCUGCUCCAGUCUCACAUGCUGUUUAGUGUCCACAAAAGCCAAGAGUUUUGCUUCUGUGAGAACUUAGCUGCAACUCCUUGCUCAAUAAAAAUUAUGCAACAUAAAAACACAGUAAAUGAUCUAUAAUAUUCUUAUCUAUUCUUGUAGAAUUUUAUACUGGCAUAUAGUGCAUCUCUAUCAUAUUUGGUUUCCCAUGUUUGAUUUCGGAGACUUCUAAAAUGUCAUGUAGAAUUCAUAAAAAUUAUAGACUAGCAUGCAAUUUGUCAGCCCUUAGCUGUUAAAAUCAAGACUUAUGAC
rnacentral:lncRNA from 1 species